GGACAGAGGCAGUAUUUCGCGAUAUCCCUUGGGCAGAGGCAGUAUUACGCGAUACCCACUAUGUGAUCCAGGGACAGAGGCAGUAUUACGCGAUAUCCCUUGGGCAGAGGCAGUAUUACGCAAUACCCAUCACAGAAAGCAGACAGAGGCAGUAUUACGCUUGUCUCAAAUAACAAAACGGUCAUUUUGUUACGUCGUGCCAGCAACGUGCAGGUGCCAUCGCACGUGUACAG
rnacentral:misc_RNA from 1 species